CGUGCGCAGGCGGUUUUGUAAGACAGAUGUGAAAUCCCCGGGCUUAACCUGGGGACUGCGUUUGUGACUGCAAGGCUACAGUACGGCAGAGGGGGGUGGAAUUCCUGGUGUAGCAGUGAAAUGCGUAGAUAUCAGGAGGAACACCGAUGGCGAAGGCAGCCCCCUGGGCCUGUACUGACGCUCAUGCACGAAAGCGUGGGGAGCAAACGGGAUUAGAUACCCUGGUAGUCCACGCCCUAAACGAUGUCGACUAGUCGUUCGGAGCAGCAAUGCACUGAGUGACGCAGCUAACGCGUGAAGUCGACCGCCUGGGGAGUACGGCCGCAAGGUUAAAACUCAAAGGAAUUGACGGGGACCCGCACAAGCGGUGGAUGAUGUGGAUUAAUUCGAUGCAACGCGAAAAACCUUACCUACCCUUGACAUGUCUGGAACCUUGCUGAGAGGCGAGGGUGCCUUCGGGAGCCAGAACACAGGUGCUGCAUGGCUGUCGUCAGCUCGUGUCGUGAGAUGUUGGGUUAAGUCCCGCAACGAGCGCAACCCUUGUCACUAGUUGCCAUCAUUUGGUUGGGCACUCUAGUGAGACUGCCGGUGACAAACCGGAGGAAGGUGGGGAUGACGUCAAGUCCUCAUGGCCCUUAUGGGUAGGGCUUCACACGUCAUACAAUGGUCGGUACAGAGGGUUGCCAAGCCGCGAGGUGGAGCCAAUCCCUUAAAGCCGAUCGUAGUCCGGAUCGUAGUCUGCAACUCGACUACGUGAAGUCGGAAUC
rnacentral:rRNA from 1 species